UACGGAGGGGGCUAGCGUUGUUCGGAAUUACUGGGCGUAAAGCGCACGUAGGCGGAUCAGUCAGUCAGGGGUGAAAUCCCGGGCUCAACCCCGGACUGCCUUUGAUACUGCUGGUCUGGAGGAUGGGAGAGGCGAGUGGAAUUCCGAGUGUAGAGGUGAAAUUCGUAGAUAUUCGGAGGAACACCAGUGGCGAAGGCGGCUCGCUGGCCCAUUUCUGACGCUGAGGUG
rnacentral:rRNA from 1 species